AGGACGAACGCUGGCGGCGUGCCUAACACAUGCAAGUCGAACGCGCUCCAUUCGGUAGCAAUACUGAUGAAGAGUGAGUGGCGAACGGGUGAGUAACACAUGAGCAACCUGCCCCGAAGACUGGGACAACACCGGGAAACCGGUGCUAAUACCGGAUAUCCCUAUCGGACCGCAUGAUCUGAUAAGGAAAUGGAUUCCGCUUCGGGAGGGGCUCGUGGCCUAUCAGCUAGUUGGUGAGGUAACGGCUCACCAAGGCAUCGACGGGUAGCUGGUCUGAGAGGACGAUCAGCCACACUGGGACUGAGACACGGCCCAGACUCCUACGGGAGGCAGCAGUGGGGAAUCUUGCGCAAUGGGCGAAAGCCUGACGCAGCAACGCCGCGUGGAGGACGAAGGCUUUCUGAGUUGUAAACUCCUUUCAGCAGGGACGAUAGUGACGGUACCUGCAGAAGAGCACCGGCAACUACGUGCCAGCAGCCGG
rnacentral:rRNA from 1 species